AGUGGGAUAACUGGAUCAAAUGGUGGUUCCAGUCUUAGUUUUCUGAGGAAUAUCAAUAUUGUUUUACAGAGUGAUUGCACCAAUUUGCAGUCCAACCAGCAAU
rnacentral:pre_miRNA from 1 species